rnacentral:rRNA from 1 species
CAGCCGCCGCGGUAAUACCGGCGGCCCGAGUGGCGGUCACUAUUAUUUGGCUUAAAGCGUCCGUAGCCGGGUUGGGAAGUCCUCCGGGAAAUCUGGCCGCUUAACGGUCAGAAUGCCGGAGGAUACUCCCAGCCUAGGGAGCGGGAGAGGCCGAGGGUAUUCCCGGAGUAGGGGUGAAAUCCUAUAAUCCCGGGAGGACCACCUGUGGCGAAGGCGCUCGGCUGGAACGCGUCCGACGGUGAGGGACGAAGGCCAGGGGAGCAAACCGGAUUAGAUACCCGGGUAGUCCUGGCGGUAAACGAUGCGGACUUUGUGUCGGACAAGCUAUGAGCUUGUCCGGUGCCGGAGGGAAACCGUUAAGUCCGCCGCCUGGGGAGUACGGCCGCAAGGCUGAAACUUAAAGGAAUUGGCGGG